rnacentral:rRNA from 2 species
UGGGGAAUAUUGGGCAAUGGAGGCAACUCUGACCCAGCCAUGCCGCGUGGGUGACGAAGGUCUUCGGAUUGUAAAGCCCUUUCGGCGGGGACGAUGAUGACGGUACCCGCAGAAGAAGCCCCGGCUAACUUCGUGCCAGCAGCCGCGGUAAUACGAAGGGGGCUAGCGUUGUUCGGAAUUACUGGGCGUAAAGGGCGUGUAGGCGGCCCGUUAAGACAGGUGUGAAAUUCCUGGGCUCAACCCAGGACGUGCGCCUGUGACUGGCGGGCUUGAGUCCGGGAGAGGAUGGUGGAACUCCCAGUGUAGAGGUGAAAUUCGUAGAUAUUGGGAAGAACACCCGUGGCGAAGGCGGCCAUCUGGACCGGUACUGACGCUAAGGCGCGACAGCGUGGGGAGCAAACAGG